rnacentral:rRNA from 1 species
CUAGCUUGCUAGAUGGCUGACGAGUGGCGCACGGGUGAGUAACGCGUGGGAACCUGCCUUUCUCUGCGGGAUAACGGUUGGAAACGACCGCUAAUACCGCAUACGCCCUACGGGGGAAAGGUCCGCCGGAGAAAGAGGGGCCCGCGUCUGAUUAGCUUGUUGGUAGGGUAAUGGCCUACCAAGGCGACGAUCAGUAGCUGGUCUGAGAGGAUGAUC